GACAGUGUGAUGCAGUGGUUUGAGUGUUGGACUAUGAAUCUGGAGACCAGGGUUCGAAUCCCUACUCAGCCA
rnacentral:tRNA from 1 species